rfam:Trachymyrmex zeteki contig9883, whole genome shotgun sequence.
GCUUCGGUAGUCUAAUGGCUUAGGACGCUCGUAUGGAAUACAAGAGAUCCGGGUUCGACUCUCGGUCGAGGUA